CACACCUGACCCACUGUGUCUGGCCACCUUGGGGCCCUUCCCAUCCUGGAGGUGGGGGCCCUGCUCCCUUUUCCUCUGGAAGGAGGCUGAUAGUUCCCUGGGCCUGGAAGGUACUCGCCUCCCCCACCUGCUCAGCUGCAGCCCCGACUCCCUUUUCUGGGAUACCAGAACGGCUCCCCAACACUGGGUCUAAACCACCUGGGUCCACACCACCCUAGAGGGGAGCCCUUGGCUGUGGUCUGCCCCACUUGGGUUCUCCACACCUAAGCCAGUGGAAAUUUGGGAGCAGGUCAUGAGGGAAGAUAAAUUGAAGCCGAGCCAAGCUGAAUUGGAGGCAUCUGAGACAAGAACGUGCGGACGCCCAGUGGACGAUCCAGGCAGGCUGGGGUGUUGGGGACGGAGCCGUGGAUACACCCAUACUCAACAGGCAGAGGGAAUAGAUAUUCGACGGGGGACCGGGGUGUCAACAGAUGUAUCCGAGUUCAUGCGUGGCAGGGAGCUGGCGGCGGGACCCGUCCCUCCAGCUGGCUCUCCAACCCCAAGCCUGCAUUACGACCACGGCAAAAUGCCAGAAGCCCAGAGAAGCGGGGUUUCUGAAGCGGAUCGUUUGUUCAGCCCGAGUGCGUGGGGCAGGAACACACCUGGAGGUCAUUAAAGAGAAGUCUUCACGGGGCACUCAAGGCACACUGCAAAACAACUUUUUAUUUAAAAGGCCAAUAAUGAGAAUAAUGAGUUGCACAAGAAUGAAAACCUUAUCCCUUCCAAAAGAUCGGCCUAUACAUUAUGUAUAAAGUUAGAAUAAUUCUAAAUACAAAAUGCCAAAGACCA
rnacentral:lncRNA from 1 species